rnacentral:tRNA from 1 species
GGGUGUGUAGUUCAGUGGCAGAGCAUGGGCUUAGCAUGCACAAGAUCCUGGGUUUGAUCCCCAGCACCA